rnacentral:lncRNA from 1 species
UUCUGUUCAUGAAAGGAUUUGAAGAAGUAUGCACUUAGUUAGAUAUAUAGUAUAUAGGUCUAAGUCCGAAUGUAAGUGAAUAUAUAGAGUGUGAUGAUCUCGUAGAGUUGGGGAUGAACUUAUAUAUAGGCCUAUGAAUAAUGGCCAUGGGCGUGGAUGUGUAUGUGAUGACAGUCAAUUAUAUGAUGUUUUUAGUAGUAAUUUAGGGUUGUUUUAAUAGCAACUGAAGUCCAAAAGCAAGCAAAUACCUGGAAAAGUGAAGUUACUUGGCAUAGAAGCAAGAAAAGUGGAAAAGACAGCAAAAAAGGGGCAAAAACGUAAUAAACAACGCAAUCCAUCAUACUUACGAUGAGAUCCAGUGUGGCGCGAUGAGAAGGCGGUUUAAAUUGAAGAAAAUCUGCAACAAAUCUUUCCUAUCGUACCACGAUGACUUAUCAUCGUGGCACGAUGAAAGGCAGUUGAAGAAAGCAGAAAAUCUGGAAAAGAUCUUCCAUCGUACCACGAUAUGAUCCAUCGUGGCCAUGAUGAGGCAAAAUUACACACCAUCGUGGCCACGAUGGGUGCGAUGGACGCGCAGAAAAAGCCCAAAACAAGCUGAAAAACUAUAAAUAGAGCAUUCAUCCUUCACUAUUAUUCAUUCAGAAAUAUUGGAGCAUAUUCAAUAUUCACUUUAGAGUUAUGAGAACUGUAAGGAUGAGACAAGGAGGGCCAAAGAACUCCAAAACCAAUAAGGUUCUUUUCUUUAUUGUCUUUGUAAUUUAUUUUUCCUAGGUUAGGUGGACUCGAUGAACUCCCUUACGAAUACAUGGUUUUGUAUAAUUUGGGUUUAAAUUCAAUUGUUCCUAUUGAAA